UACGUAGGUGGCAAGCGUUGUCCGGAUUUACUGGGCGUAAAGGGCGUGCAGGCGGUUUGUUAAGUGCAGAGUGAAAGCUCCCGGCUCAACUGGGAGAGGUCUUUGCAUACUGGCAAACUCGAGGGAGGCAGAGGAAAGUGGAAUUCCCGGUGUAGUGGUGAUAUGCGUAGAUAUCGAGAGGAACACCUGCGGCGAAGGCGGGUUGCUGGGCUGACACUGACGCUGAAGCGCGAAAGCUAGGGGAGCGAACGGG
rnacentral:rRNA from 1 species